UUAGACAUAAAUAGUAUUUACCGGAGUACUACGAAUAAACAUUUAAAACUCAAAGAGCUUGGCGGUGCUUUAGACUUCUCAGGGGAACCUGUCUCGUAAUCGACAGUCCACGAAUCAACCUCACCUUUAUCAGUAUGUAUACCGUCGUCGUCAGGUAACUUUUAAAAAUAAAGAAGUUAGCAAGUUUUCACGUCAGAUCAAGGUGCAGCUUAUAGAAAGGAGAAGAUGGGUUACAAUUAAAAUUCAUAAUUACGGAUGUUAAUCUUUGAAGGCGGACUUGAAAGUAUGAAUUAGUAGUUAAAUGUUCUGAAUUCAGCUCUGAAGCG
rnacentral:rRNA from 1 species